AACGAACGCUGGCGGCAUGCCUAACACAUGCAAGUCGAACGAGACCUUCGGGUCUAGUGGCGCACGUCUGCGUAACGCGUGGGAACCUGCCCUUAGGUUAGGAAUAACUCCCCGAAGGGGGUCCUAAUACCGGUUAAUGUCUUCCGACCAAAGAUUUAUCGCCUUUGGAUGGGCCCGCGUUGGAUUAGUCAGUUGGUAGGGUACAAGCCUACCAAGGCGACGAUCCAUAGCUGGUCUGUGAGGAUGAUCAGCCACACUGGGAAUGAGACACGGCCCAGACUCGUACGGGAGGCAGCAGUAGGGAAUAUUGGACACUGGGCGAAAGCCUGAUCCAGCAAUGCCGCGUGAGUGAUGAAGGCCUUAGGGUUGUAAAGCUGUUUUACCCGGGAUGAUAAUGACAGUACCGGGAGAAUAAGCUCCGGCUAACUCCGUG
rnacentral:rRNA from 1 species